GCCUGGGUGGCUCAGUGGUUGAGCACCUGCCUUCCACUCAGGGUGUGAUCCUAAGGUCCUGGGAUCGAGUCCUGAAUCAGGCU
rnacentral:tRNA from 1 species